rnacentral:rRNA from 1 species
UACGUAGGGUGCGAGCGUUGUUCGGAAUUAUUGGGCGUAAAGGGCUCGUAGGCGGUCUGUUGCGUCGGGAGUGAAAACUCAGGGCUUAACCCUGAGCCUGCUUCCGAUACGGGCAGACUAGAGGUAUGCAGGGGAGAACGGAAUUCCUGGUGUAGCGGUGAAAUGCGCAGAUAUCAGGAGGAACACCGGUGGCGAAGGCGGUUCGCUGGGCAUUACCUGACGCUGAGGAGCGAAAGUGUGGGGAGCGAACAGG